rnacentral:rRNA from 1 species
UACAGAGGUGGCAAGCGUUGUUCGGAAUUACUGGGCGUAAAGGGCGAGUAGGUGGCCAUCUAAGUCAGACGUGAAAUCCCCCGGCUUAACCUGGGAACUGCGUCUGAUACUGGACGGCUUGAGUAUGGGAGAGGAACGUAGAAUUCCAGGUGUAGCGGUGAAAUGCGCAGAUAUCAGGAGGAACACCUAUAGCGAAGGCAGCUUGCUGGGACGUAACUGACGCUAAGGCGCGAAAGCGUGGGGAGCGAACAGG